rnacentral:rRNA from 1 species
GAUGAACGCUGGCGGCGUGCCUAAUACAUGCAAGUCGAGCGAACAGACGAGGAGCUUGCUCCUCUGACGUUAGCGGCGGACGGGUGAGUAACACGAGGAUAACCUACCUAUAAGACUGGGAUAACUUCGGGAAACCGGAGCUAAUACCGGAUAAUAUAUUGAACCGCAUGGUUCAUUAGUGAAAGACGGUUUUGCUGUCACUUAUAGAUGGAUCCGCGCCGCAUUAGCUAGUUGGUAAGGUAACGGCGUACCAAGGCAACGAUGCGUAGCCGACCUGAGAGGGUGAUCGGCCACACUGGAACUGAGACACGGUCCAGACUCCUACGGGAGGCAGCAGUAGGGAAUCUUCCGCAAUGGGCGAAAGCCUGACGGAGCAACGCCGCGUGAGUGAUGAAGGUCUUCGGAUCGUAAAACUCUGUUAUUUGGGAAGAACAAAUGUGUAAGUAACUAUGCACGUCUUGACGGUACCUAAUCAGAAAGCCCCGGCUAACUACGUG